CCUACGGGAGGCAGCAGUAGGGAAUAUUGCUCAAUGGGGGAAACCCUGAAGCAGCAACGCCGCGUGGAGGAUGAAGGUUUUCGGAUUGUAAACUCCUUUUGUUAGAGAAGAUAAUGACGGUAUCUAACGAAUAAGCACCGGCUAACUCCGUGCCAGCAGCCGCGGUAAUACGGAGGGUGCAAGCGUUACUCGGAAUCACUGGACGUAAAGCGCGCGUAGGCGGGAUAGCAAGUCAGAUGUGAAAUCCUAUGGCUUAACCAUAGAACUGCAUUUGAAACUGUUAUUCUAGAGUAUGGGAGAGGUAGGUGGAAUUCUUGGUGUAGGGGUAAAAUCCGUAGAGAUCAAGAGGAAUACUCAUUGCGAAGGCGACCUGCUAGAACAUAACUGACGCUGAUGCGCGAAAGCGUGGGGAGCAAACAGGAUUAGAUACCCCAGUAGUC
rnacentral:rRNA from 1 species